AACGGGGGGGACUAACGUUAUUCAUCAUAACUGGGCGUAAAGGGUACGUAGGCGGUUUUAUAAGUCUUAAUUAAAGAAUCUAGGCGUAACCUAGAAAUUUUUUUUCUGAUACUGUAAAGCUAGAGGUUAAUAGAGGUUCGUUAUACUCUUGGAGUAAAAGUAAAAUUUCUAAAUACUGAGGGGAUAACCGAUAGGCGAAGGCGAACGCUCCUGAUUAAUACUGACGCUGAGGUACGAAAGCAUGGGAAUCAAACGGGA
rnacentral:rRNA from 1 species